rnacentral:rRNA from 1 species
UACAGAGGGUGCAAGCGUUAAUCGGAAUUACUGGGCGUAAAGCGUGCGUAGACGGUUACAUAAGUCGGAUGUGAAAGCCCCGGGCUCAACCUGGGAAUGGCAUUCGAGACUGUGUAGCUAGGAUGCGGAAGAGGGAAGCGGAAUUUCCGGUGUAGCGGUGAAAUGCGUAGAUAUCGGAAGGAACACCAGUGGCGAAGGCGACUUUCUGGACAAAUACUGACACUGAGGUACGAAAGCAUGGGGAGCAAACAGG